UCUGGUUCCAGUGUCCCGGACGCUGCCUGGGCCGUGCUGGGAGGACGCAGCGCCAUCUCGUCGUCUGUCAGCACCACAACGGCUCUGACUCCGGCUGUGAGGACAGGAGGCCCGCCGUUGGGAGGGGCUGCUCGGCGGGGGCCUGUGAUGCGUGCUGGCGCCCGGGCCCCUGGCGGCCCUGCCCCGCGGCCUGCGGCUCGGUCCCGGAGGGUCGACUGCAUCCGCGCGCGGAGCUGCGCCCCGGUGGCCGCGAGGCGCUGCGCGCAGGGAGAGAAGCCCGCGUCCCGGCGGCGCUGCCUCGGGCCCCCCUGUGACAGAGACUGCACAGACGCCACACACCGCUGCAUGUUUGUGAAGCAUCUCAAUUUGUGUUCGCUAGGCGUCUACAGACGGAGGUGCUGCCGGUCAUGUCAAGAAGGAUAAACCUUUGGAGGGGUCCUGAUGCUGCUGUGAAGAUAAAAGAAAAAUGUAAAAGCUCUUUUCCCCAUGCACAGAAACGUGCAUUUCUUCCAAACUCUAGAUUCUGCGAUGGGAGGUGGAUGCAACAUCACCAGCGUUCAGCUCUUGCAGCGUCAUUUUCCCGCGGCCGGCUGUUAAUUCCGACUCUUUCCAUGAUGUGCUCGAGGACUAACAAAAAUGCCGCGGCGCGUGGGCCCUCACCACGUCCUUGUGAUGGGGAAGCACGAGGGGGCCAGUGCCUUGUCAAGUGCUGCUGCUUCCUGUGCUUAGUAGCCUCCUACAGAGAGGGCGUCCUGAAGACCUGGGGACACACAGCAGCUGACUUCCCCCCUCAAGGUUUAGGGUUUCGACAGGCUCACGAGGCAUCUACGCUUCAGAAGCUCCAGCCAGUAGUUGUGACGGUGUUGGAUCCUUGAGUUCCGUCUGUGAAAGAGACAGUCACUCUGGACAGGCUUGUGACACUGACUGGUCCAGGGACGUGGCGGGUGGCGCCUGUCCUUGCUCUGAGGGAACCCAUGGGAGAAAACGCAGAGUAGAUGUUGCUGCCAUUUUCACAACUACGGAAAUCGAUCUGUGACCAAAGGAGGCGCCCUGGAAACCACAGGAGAGGGAAAGUUAACCUUUUCUACUGAUUUUGGAGUCUAUUCAAAGCUUUCUUUUAAGAGCUGUGAAUGAAAAGUUUUUGUAAGCACUAUUCUCUUGCACACAAACACAAAAUCAAAGCCCUGUUAGACCUAAUUUAUGCAUAAAAUAGUAUUCCUAAGGAUUUUUAUUUUGGAAAAAUUAUAAGAAAGUAAUCUAAAUAUGAAACCUGAUAGCUGAAAAGAAUUGUUUAUAGUAAAUAAUUGUUUUGAUUUGAACUGAUUUUUCAGUAAAUCCGAAGUGAAUUAGGGUCAGGCUGGAAGUUGCAGUUAGGACUGGGGGUGAGAGUUAGGAUUGGGUGACAAGUUCAGGAUUAGGAUUCGGUUAGUGAGAACGGAAGUUCAGUUAGGGUUAAGGCUGGAGUUGGCUAUCGGGUUAGGGUUAGGGUUAGGGUCAGGGCCAGGUUAGGUCAGUCCAGCUGGGUGUAGAUUGGGGCCAGCGCUGGUGUUACGGUCGGGGCAGAGGUUAAGUCUGGGGUGAAUGUUGCUGCUGAAGCAGUCUGGGGCUCGCAUUAAAUCGUAAGCUCUGAGGCUGACGUGGUCAUGGGCUCUUGCCCUUGCAUUCUACCAGUGACAGCUUCGGACGGCACAUGACCCCAACAGGUGGUCAUACGUCCUCCUCCCGCGUCCCAGCGCUGGGCCGCACGCUGCCUACAGUCUGUUGGCCACAAAGUUCCCUGAAGGAGGUGGUGCUGGACCGCGUGCCCGGUCACCAGCACUGAGCAGCGCCUGCGGCUUUGGAUGCGUCUGCGGACGAGCGUGCCGAGUCCCGGCCGCCCUCCGAGCCCCAGGUCUCCUGUUCUGACUCCAGCCUCGCUGACACUGGGGUGAGCACUACUGUACGCAGAGGGUCUGGUGUCUGGGCGGGCGGGGACGUGAAGGGCACACACCAGCCCGUGGGUGUGAGUCAUCAGUCACACUUGGUUGGUGAGGUUUGUAAAUUAAAAGAAAGAUCAUUUGUAAAAUACUCUUUGUAUAUAUUUAUUAUAUGACUUAAAGGUGCAAUAUUUUAUUUUGUACAGUAUGUAAUAAAGACAUGGGACAUAUAUUUUUCUUAUUAACAAAAUUUCUUAUUAAAUUGCUUCACCUUUGUAUUUAAAGUUAAAACUUGCUGUUUUUCAUUUGCUAUUGUACUUUUUCUUGUUAUUAUUCAAAUGACAUUCCUGUGUACUGUAUUUUACUACUAUUUCUGUAACAUA